rnacentral:tRNA from 1 species
UAUAUUUUAGGGUAAAAAGCCCCAAAAUUUUUGAUUUUUUUAGAAAUAGUUUGAUUCUUUAAAAUAUAA